AGAGUUUGAUCCUGGCUCAGGACGAACGCUGGCGGCACGCCUAAUACAUGCAAGUCGAGCGCGUGAAGCUGACGGAAGCCUUCGGGUGGAAGACAGUGGAUCGAGCGGCGGACGGGUGAGUAACACGUGGGCAACCUACCGAUCAGACGGGGAUAACAUCGGGAAACCGAUGCUAAUACCGGAUACACGCUGAAUCGCAUGAUUUAGUAUGAAAGGAUGGCUUCGGCUAUCGCUGAUCGAUGGGCCUGCGGCGCAUUAGCUAGUUGGUGAGGUAGUAGCUCACCAAGGCGACGAUGCGUAGCCGACCUGAGAGGGUGACCGGCCACACUGGGACUGAGACACGGCCCAGACUCCUACGGGAGGCAGCAGUAGGGAAUCUUCCGCAAUGGACGCAAGUCUGACGGAGCGAUGCCGCGUGAGUGAGGAAGGCUUUCGGGUCGUAAAACUCUGUUGUGAGGGAAGAACGGCUCUUGUUUAAAGAAGGCAAGAGAGUGACGGUACCUCACGAGAAAGCCCCGGCUAACUACGUGCCAGCAGCCGCGGUAAUACGUAGGGGGCAAGCGUUGUCCGGAAUUAUUGGGCGUAAAGCGCGCGCAGGCGGUCUCUUAAGUCUGAUGUGAAAGCCCACAGCUCAACCGUGGAGGGUCAUUGGAAACUGGGAGACUUGAGUGUAGGAAAGAAAGUGGAAUUUCCCCGUGUAGNGUUGAAAUGGCGUNAGAUGUUGAAGGAACACCAGUUGGCAAGGNCAACUUUCCUGGCNNCACANCUUACUUGANGGCCGCGAAAGCGUUGGGGAAGCAAACAGGAUUAGAUACCCUUGNUAGUCCACCCCGUAAAACGAUGAGUGUCUAGGUGUCAGGGGUUUCAAUACCCUUGGUGCUGAAAGUUAACACAUUUAAGCACUCCGCCUGGGGAGUACGGCCGCAAGGUUGAAACUCAAAGGAAUUGACGGGGGCCCGCACAAGCAGUGGAGCAUGUGGUUUAAUUCGAAGCAACGCGAAGAACCUUACCAGGACUUGACAUCCUCUUGACGGUUCUAGAGAUAGAGCUUCCCUUCGGGGCAAGAGUGACAGGUGGUGCAUGGUUGUCGUCAGCUCGUGUCGUGAGAUGUUGGGUUAAGUCCCGCAACGAGCGCAACCCUUAAUCUUAGUUGCCAGCAUUAAGUUGGGCACUCUAAGGUGACUGCCGGUGACAAACCGGAGGAAGGUGGGGAUGACGUCAAAUCAUCAUGCCCCUUAUGUCCUGGGCAACACACGUGCUACAAUGGGCCGUACAAAGGGUAGCGAAGCCGCGAGGUGGAGCCAAUCCCAAAAAGCGACUCUCAGUUCGGAUUGCAGGCUGCAACUCGCCUGUAUGAAGCUGGAAUUGCUAGUAAUCGUGGAUCAGCAUGCCACGGUGAAUACGUUCCCGGGCCUUGUACACACCGCCCGUCACACCACGAGAGUCUGUAACACCCGAAGUCGGUGUGGUAACCCAUAUGGGAGCCAGCCGCCGAAGGUGGGACAGAUGAUUGGGGUGAAGUCGUACAAGGUAGCCGUAUCGGAAGGUGCGGCUGGAUCACCUCCUU
rnacentral:rRNA from 1 species